GAUGAACGCUGGCGGCGUGCCUAAUACAUGCAAGUCGAGCGAACGGACGAGAAGCUUGCUUCUUUGAUGUUAGCGGCGGACGGGUGAGUAACACGUGGAUAACCUACCUAUAAGACUGGGAUAACUUCGGGAAACCGGAGCUACUACCGGAUAAUAUUUUGAACCGCAUGGUUCAAAAGUGAAAGACGGUUUUGCUGUCACUUAUAGAUGGAUCCGCGCUGCAUUAGCUAGUUGGUAAGGUAACGGCUUACCAAGGCAACGAUGCAUAGCCGACCUGAGAGGGUGAUCGGCCACACUGGAACUGAGACACGGUCCAGACUCCUACGGGAGGCAGCAGUAGGGAAUCUUCCGCAAUGGGCGAAAGCCUGACGGAGCAACGCCGCGUGAGUGAUGAAGGUCUUCGGAUCGUAAAACUCUUUUAUUAGGGAAGAACAUAUGUGUAAGUAACUGUGCACAUCUUGACGGUACCUAAUCAGAAAGCCACGGCUAACUACGUG
rnacentral:rRNA from 1 species